GCCGAAGUGGUGGAAUGGUAGACACGCAGCGUUCAGAGCGCUGUGAGCGCAAGCUCGUGAGAGUUCAAAUCUCUCCUUCGGCACCA
rnacentral:tRNA from 1 species